rnacentral:misc_RNA from 1 species
GGGAGCUGAUGGAUAUGCGUCGGAGGAUCUGGGGCAGGGAUCGAAUGUGGCUGGACGGGAGCGGAAGAAAGGAGUGCCAUGGACCGAGGAGGAACACAGGAUGUUUCUACUCGGAUUGAAAAAACUAGGCAAAGGCGACUGGCGUGGAAUAGCUCGCAACUACGUUGUAUCGAGGACGCCCACUCAAGUCGCUAGCCAUGCCCAAAAGUACUUUAUUCGCCAGACCAAUAUGAGCCGACGCAAGAG